rnacentral:rRNA from 1 species
GAUGAACGCUAGCGGCAGGCUUAAUACAUGCAAGUCGAGGGGUAGCAAGAUUGUAGCAAUACAAUUGUUGACGACCGGCAAACGGGUGCGGAACACGUACACAACCUUCCUUUAACUGGGAGAUAGCCCACCGAAAGGUGGAUUAAUAUCCCAUAAUAUAACUGAAUGGCAUCAUUUAGCUAUUAAAGCUCCGGCGGUUAAAGAUGGGCGUGCGUCUGAUUAGGUAGUUGGCGGGGUAACGGCCCACCAAGCCUUCGAUCAGUAGCUGAUGUGAGAGCAUGAUCAGCCACACGGGCACUGAGACACGGGCCCGACUCCUACGGGAGGCAGCAGUAAGGAAUAUUGGUCAAUGGACGCAAGUCUGAACCAGCCAUGCCGCGUGGAGGAUGAAGGCCCUCUGGGUUGUAAACUUCUUUUCUUUGGGACGAAACCCCUGUUUCUACGGGGACUGACGGUACCAGAGGAAUAAGCACCGGCUAACUCCGUGCCAGCCGCCGCGGUAAGAC